rnacentral:rRNA from 1 species
GCCCUGGACUCUGGGAUAAGCGCUGGAAACGGCGUCUAAUACUGGAUAUGAGACGUGAUCGCAUGGUCGUGUUUGGAAAGAUUUUUCGGUCUGGGAUGGGCUCGCGGCCUAUCAGCUUGUUGGUGAGGUAAUGGCUCACCAAGGCGUCGACGGGUAGCCGGCCUGAGAGGGUGACCGGCCACACUGGGACUGAGACACGGCCCAGACUCCUACGGGAGGCAGCAGUGGGGAAUAUUGCACAAUGGGCGGAAGCCUGAUGCAGCAACGCCGCGUGAGGGAUGACGGCCUUCGGGUUGUAAACCUCUUUUAGCAGGGAAGAAGCGAAAGUGACGGUACCUGCAGAAAAAGCGCCGGCUAACUACGUGCCAGCAGCCGCGGUAAUACGUAGGGCGCAAGCGUUAUCCGGAAUUAUUGGGCGUAAAGAGCUCGUAGGCGGUUUGUCGCGUCUGCUGUGAAAUCCCGAGGCUCAACCUCGGGCCUGCAGUGGGUACGGGCAGACUAGAGUGCGGUAGGGGAGAUUGGAAUUCCUGGUGUAGCGGUGGAAUGCGCAGAUAUCAGGAGGAACACCGAUGGCGAA